CAAUUUUAUAAUUUUUUGUCAAAAUACCACCCCUCCCCAAAAUUUUUAAAACUACCACCUAUAAAUACAUCUUUAUUGUAAACUGAUUGCACCCAUAUCACUUUUUCAGAAAUUGGGUUCUCCCUCAACUCUCUUGGCUCUGUCUCUCUCUUUAGCCUAGCUCUCUCUCUCUCUGACAUAGUCAUCUUCCUCCCUCAGCCAUCCAAGCUUAACUCCACAGUUCACAUCCACGAGGUACUGUUCACGUUCCUUUUCUUAGAAAUUUGGGGUUUUUGUGAAUUUGGUUUAUGAUGUAUGGAUUUGUAUGAAAUUGGUUUAGGGGUUUCUUCCAAAUUGGUUUGAUAGGAAGGUGAUGUUGUUGUUGCUGUCGCUGACAGACUGUUUUUCCUGGGUUGUUUUUGGUGGGUGUUACUGCGAAUGCUUACAAGGUUGCUGAUUCUCCUUCUAAGGUCUCUCUUUCUCUCUAUUUCGUCAAAUUCUAAGGUUUUUUUUGUUUUUUUUUGGGGUUACUUUUUUUUGAUUUCUUUUGCUAAUUGUAAUUGGGCCUUUGUUGCAGAGGUGGAUUUGUUUUGUGCCCAAAAGAUUGUGACUUUGUUGAAAGUUCGUAAAUGGAAAAGGCAGCUGCCCCCUACGGCUUGGAACGCUCAAUUCGGAGGGUCUGAAGAACAACCAUGUAGUAAGAAAGUUGGAGAAGCAUCAACAGAUUUGCACCCUUGACCAACAUAUUGAAGAGCAAUUUGGUGGUGGUUGUCUGUUGGCUUGUAUCUCAUCACAACCUAGAUAGUGGCUGUGCUGAUGGGAUGGGAAAACAUUGGACAAUGAGUUGGAGGUUGUUAAGGGAAUGAAGCUAGACAGGGGCUACAUAUCCUCUUAUUUCAUCACCAACCAGAACAAUCAGAAAUGUGAAUUGGAAAAUCCUCUAAUCAUAAUCCAUGAGAAGAAAAUCUCAAGUAUUAAUGCUGUGGUUAAAGUAUUGGAGUUGGUCUUGCAGGUUAUCAUUUCUCUGGUUAGGUUCACUAGUUUCUUCUUUUUUAUCAUGAAUUGGUUGACAAACUUUUGCUCUUUUUCAAAAGCAAAGGUCUUUGCAUUUUGUUAUAUCUUUCAGAACCAAAGUUAUAAAAGAAAAUGGUUUUCCUCUUUGUUAAUUGAGAAUCAUCUGCAGUUAUGAUUUCAGAUCUAUAGAUAACUUGUUGUUGCUGAUAUUGCUACACGGGAGGAGAAUAGAACAGCUUGAAAAAUGUGCAAGAAGAGAGAGCUAACUCAUACACCGAAGAACAAAUUGGUGAAGUUAAGAUCAAAUUAGUAGAAUUUGUGAGCUCUCCAUUAUUUAUAAUUAUAGGUAGGAAGUAUGUAUGUAAUAGAGUAAAGAUUGGUUGACUAUGUAAUAACAAUUGAAUUUUCAAGUUUUAUGAAAGAAAUAA